GAACAUAUUCUGUUUUAUCAUAGGGAAUAAACUGAUUUUUAAUUUGUUGACUAAUAAAACUGUUUUUCAGUUCUCUUGUCCUGAACAGAAUACAGCACCAGGUACUAGUUCAUCUCAGGUUAUAUUUUGCUUAAAUUAUUUUGCAUUAAUUAUACCUUGUAUGCCAAGCUGUUGUUUCCUCCAAAGUUAUAUUCUACACGGAACAUAAUUAUAGAAUGUAACGUAAAGGAAUUGGAAAGAAAUUACUGAAGAAAGAAGAUAAUAAAAGAAAUGUUCACCUUAGGAUGUAUAUCAUACCGCUAAAAAAUUAAUGUUUUUGGUUACGACUGAGCGUGUGAGAAUAAUGAUUUUGUUGACAUAUACUAGACUGGUUAAGACAUUGAGCUUGCUAACAACUUGUCUAUCCGUAGACACUUUUUUCUCUGUUGGGGUACUACACAAAACUUCAGGUAUAAUGUUAGCAGUGAGUAUAGUCGGGCAUGAACAUGUUCCAGUUUUUUGAAUGAUGACAUUCUCUCCAUGGAAACGAUCAUAGGCAACAUGGCAGCAUUUCAGUUUUGACAAGGAAAGUGGGCGUAGCAUUAACCAAUUUUAGCUUUCACUUUGUGAAGUUUAGUGUAGCUAGUAUGUGCUAAGUCAGGACACAUGUAUGAAGAUCCGAUUAUGACAUUCUCUAUUAAAAGUGCUACUAAUUUGUGCUGCAACGUCUCAGUUCAGCACCUGUGCUUACAACCCGUUAUUCGUUCCAUAUGAACAGACAAGUCUAAGUUCGUUAACGAGGUUAAGCUUUGCCAUUGUAACUCAAAGACCAGGUACAGUUUCUGUUGAGCACUUGGCCAUAAGGGUUAGCAUGGCUGUAAGAGGAGUAGAAAACAUAAUAUCUUCACAGUACCCAAAACUAGAAACUACUGAAGAAAUGGCUCUGAGACUUAACAUCUGAGGUCAUCGGUCCCCUGGAACUCAGAACUACCUAAACCUAACUAACCGAAGGACAUCACCCCCAUCCAUGCCCGAGGCAGGAUUCGAACCUUCGACCGUAGAGGUCGCGCGGUUCCAGACUGAAGCGCCUAGAACCCGUCGGCCACACCGGCCGGCUAGAAACUACUGAGCCACAGCUAAAUCUCUGCUCUACAGAUCACUAUAGAAUUUGAGUCAAAGUUUUUGUGAUUCUGUAGGUUCGCGCUUUCACAGGAUUUUUCCUUUUGCUUUUGUGUGUAGGGGUGUAGUUUAAUGAUCUGUGAAUUAUGCAGGGCCAGAGGUUACUUGUAGGAGGGGCUGCUAAUUCACAACUUUAAACUUGGCUUUAGAUCCGAGCACGAGAAAUAAAAUGGAAGAAAGAACGAAGAACACCGUAAGAAACAAAGGAGCGCCCAUAUGACAUCAGAAGAUAGCAAAAUGUAGCCAGCAGUUGUACGGGGGAGGGGGGGGGGGGGGUGGCGAGAACAAAGACGAAGUUCCAGUUGCGCAGAAAUUGCCAUUAUCACUGUUCUUUUACUGUACAAAAAGCUAGUAAUUGCCAUAAGUUGUUACAAAUAACUGUUUAUUACUGACAAAGACUGUCUGUUCCGCAUAUCAAAAUAGUUUGUUUCCUUUAGCUAAUAACAUAAACAUGGGUACCUCUGCAUAAAAAAAAAACCUUUCAUGCGGAGACCAGGCUGUGAGCGGCAAUUUACUCUCACCGUGUAAAAACUUAAGAAUUCCGCGGCGCGGCGUCCCUUUUGUCGCUGUAACAAAGCUUGCGCGGGGAAUAAGAAGAGGCUGCAUUGCACUCUAAGUAGAGGUUCAGCGCGCAGCAAGAACCGAUACACGGCUGUGCGGCAAUUCAACAAACAAGCCGCGCGUUAGCCGACGUCCAGAGUUGUGCAACUCCUCCGCGAGAAACGAUUUGCUUACAGGGCACGAUCGGUCCUAUUCGUGAGCUCCGAUGGACUCGCCUGUUUCGUUCCAGAGGAGUGCUAAGGAGGCUCUUCGCUAUAUACCGUAUAUCGUUCACGCUCCCCAACUACAACGACACUGAUGACGACAGUAUAUUAGAUUGUCGCCGAAUGAGCAAAAGCGGAUACUCAAAGACGUGAAAGCUGUUACUGUUUCAUAAUAACAUGUAGAGACGAAAUUAACAACCAGAUUUGUUUCACACUAUCACAGAGACUCUACAGAAGGCGGCCGGAAGGGUAAUUGAGAUAAAUAUUCUUCCCCACUAUAGCUACGUCUUUACUUAAGAAGCGUGUACUAACAUACAAAAAAAAAAAAAAAUCCGAACUAUACCUCCAAUAACUGCCAGUACCGAUUACCAAAAAAAAUCUAAAUAUUCUUUCAAUGUUGAGCAGUUAAUUAAAAAGCUUAAACUGUAUGUGACAUAACACAUAACAAAUCUUACAUACAACAGUGAUACAAUUUUUCACGUUAACCGCGAGAUGUUACGAGCACUUAUGUCGUAACUGGUAUAUUCGUGUCCGGAGGUAUAAGAUGAACUCUACACGUUUUGUAUCUGUCACGGGUUGGUGUGUGAUUGGUACAAUAUCUUCCGAAAAUUAUUUGUAAUGGUAGUAGUUGUUGUUGUAGUAGUUGUCGUAGUUUUAUUCAUCGUUCUACUCGUCACAGGAACCUACGAGUGGUCCUAAGACUUUUAAAUCGUCUUUUGAGCAGUAUAUUUCAUCAAAGAGAAGUUACAUUCGAAUCUCUUCGCAAUAUCCUCUCAGAUAUUUUACUAGCUUAUUAAAGAUCAUUCUGUCAGCAAAAAUCGUCAAUUUACCUAUGAAUAGAUUUAGGAAUUUCAAGCUUUAAAUUAGCAUUUAAGACCCUUACAGUGCAACGUAUAACUUAUUGCGUAUAUUGUCGUAAUGUUUUGUGUUUUUAAAAAUUAUUAGUCCUCUUUUUUUCAGAUUUCUCUGAAUUAUGUAAUGACUCGUUUUAUGACCAAGCAGCUUCGCUUCACAUGGUUCCACAGAGUUAAAUUAAAUUAAAACGAAAUAAUGAGUGAUACCCUGAAUGUCAGUAGACCUAUUGUUUUAUUUGUGUCAAUUAAAAUGAUUUCAUACUCUUUCCUACAUGAUUUUCAGGGAAGCCUGAUGAAGAAAUUAUGAAAUUAAUGACGAAAAUUGAUUCAGAACUCUCUGAUACGGAGGCUGAUGAUACUGAGAAUGAAGAUACUCUGUGCAUGCCACAAGAUGAUACUAAUGACAAGGAAAGUUCAGCAUCAGAAGAAGAAUCUUCUGGUAUUGCUCAUACACAACAGAGACAACAGUUCCUGAGACAGGCAAAAUAGUCAGAGAUGCUUCUUGUAAUCUUCAGUGUGACGCUGACGUUGGUACCUCAGAAGCCUUAGGUGAACUGAUGAUGCCAUUAGGAUCUUUUUCCAUGCAGUUUAGUGGUUUCCUUUUUAAAGGUGUCACGAUUAGCAAAUUGUAAGCCUGUAAGUAAAAUUGUGAAGCCCUUAAAUGUAUUGUGCUGAAAUGCUCACAUGUAUUGUCAUGUAAGAUAACAGCAGGAAGUAAAAAGGGAAACCCAACCCAGAUUGGUUAAUCUUAAGAACUCAUUGCAAAGAGAUAAUCGACUUGUUUUCUAAUUAAUAUUGUGCCUCCGGGUGUUCCGUGGAGUCGUUGUUUCUAUUUUAUGCACAGUGGGAACAACUCGGAACAACACCCGGAAGCAUAUUAUUAACCAAUCCCGUCGAGAGAACCUGAGAGACUAAUUCAUUUUAAAUCGACUGAUCGAUAAUUUACUUCUGUCGCUACCCUUGAUAGCUUAUUGAGUUACAGAAAAAUCACACCUACUGGCUUAUUAGUGUUGUACAUAAUACUAAGAUACAUUGUUUCAUUGGGAUGCAACCUAAUUCAAAGCGUUUCCCGAAUUUUGUGGUCAAGAGAGACAAAUCGUAGCAGUGAUCAAAUAGUUUGAUGAAAGUCCAAUAUUUCUGAAUUCGGAUAAAUUCUGUGUUGAGUUAGAUGUAGUAUUGUUUCUUAGUAAACGGGAUGCAUUUUCAACUAAGUCCCUGGUCUAUUUGUAGUGGAGUCAUACGAUACCAGCAUAUGAGAAGCAGACGUACUAGACAGAGCAAUGGGAAAAUAUGGCAUAAGAGUCCGGCCCUACAGAUGGAUAACUAGCGUGAUUCCUCACAAUGUGAACUUCACAACUACUGCUGCUUAGUUAGUACAGAGAAUACUGUGCUAAAUGGAAUUACGAGGAAAUGAACAAUGCAGAAUAUUGAUUCAGACUUGAUAUUGCAGAAAUUGUAAUACAAUUUGAACAAAAAAUCUAGCUUGAAGAGGGAAACAAAAGAGCAGGAGACACGUCAAGAAGACAGAAAGGAAGAUGUACCCAAUACAGCGAAAGGCGUACACCUCCUUGGUCCCCUAGAGUCAGUGAAGACACGUUAAUAAAACAUGCUUAAUUUUUGUGAAAUGAUGUUUUAAAAUGUCGGGCAGAAAUGUGCAGAAGUACCGCAUCAGUGGAAGACGGGUUAAGAGUUGAUUUGUUUUACUACAGAUUGGAAUAGUCUUUAUUCAUUCCAUAAUAAACAGUAUUAAUUGUGAAUAAAUAGUAUUAACCUAGUUCUCAAAUACAUUUUAUCGCUAAUAAAAUCUACACAUUUUAUUGUUACACAUGAUAUUUUUAUUUUAAUAUUUCUGACGUGUUUGCUAACAACUACUGAGUAUUUUAUUACAAUGUAUGUGUUAUAAAUACACCUGGUAGUAGGAACUAAAAAUAAAUAUCCUUUGCAAACUUUA